UACGAAGGGGGCUAGCGUUGUUCGGAAUUACUGGGCGUAAAGCGCACGUAGGCGGAUAUUUAAGUCAGGGGUGAAAUCCCGGAGCUCAACUCUGGAACUGCCUUUGAUACUGGGUAUCUUGAGUAUGGAAGAGGUGAGUGGAAUUCCGAGUGUAGAGGUGAAAUUCGUAGAUAUUCGGAGGAACACCAGUGGCGAAGGCGGCUCACUGGUCCAUUACUGACGCUGAGGUGCGAAAGCGUGGGGCGCAAACAGG
rnacentral:rRNA from 1 species